rnacentral:rRNA from 1 species
GAACGAGACCUUCGGGUCUAGUGGCGCACGGGUGCGUAACGCGUGGGAAUCUGCCCAAAGGUUCGGAAUAACUCAGGGAAACUUGAGCUAAUACCGGAUGAUGUCGCAAGACCAAAGAUUUAUCGCCUUUGGAUGAGCCCGCGUAGGAUUAGCUUGUUGGUGAGGUAAAGGCUCACCAAGGCGACGAUCCUUAGCUGGUCUGAGAGGAUGAUCAGCCACACUGGGACUGAGACACGGCCCAGACUCCUACGGGAGGCAGCAGUGGGGAAUAUUGGACAAUGGGCGCAAGCCUGAUCCAGCCAUGCCGCGUGAGUGAUGAAGGCCCUAGGGUUGUAAAGCUCCUUUACCCGGGAAGAUAAUGACGGUACCGGGAGAAUAAGCCCCGGCUAACUUCGUG